AAAGGGUUAGACGAUUGUUGAGGUAGUUGUGGAAUAGGUAUAGGUUAGGUUUGAUGGAAAGGAGACAGGUUUUGAUGGAAUAGCCUUUGCUAGUACUGACUUUGGAGAUGUUGUUAAUUCUGGAUGUUGAGAUUGAUUCUGUGUUUUUCUUUAAUGUUUGGAUUUUCUGUUGUAUUAUAAUGUUAUCUUGUUCUAAUUUUAAAAUAUUUUCUUCUAGGGUGUGGAUUUUUUUCUGCUGAGGUAGAUUUUAUGGUGGUAGUGAUAUUGUUGCCAGAUUUACGGUAGGUUUCAAUGUUGAUGGUUGAUUGGAUAUUAGAAAUCAAGGUGUUUUUACGUUCUUUGAUGGUAGAGAGAUUGUGUAUUUUCAUGAGGUUGAGUUUUUGCAUUGCAUUGCGAUUUCUAUUCAAUUUUAGACUGUGUUUCCAUGAUUUGAUGUUAGUAUGUCUGGUGUAUGUAAAUUUAUUACUCUUUGGUUUAGCUUUCCUCUCUUUGAGUCUGGGCUUGUAUUUAAUCUUUUUUCUUUUGUUUUUCUCUUUUCUUUUGUUGUUGUAGGUUACUAUUUGGAUAGCUUUCUGUAGUCUUUGGCAUUAUUACUGCUUGUAUAUAUUUAUUAUGGAGAAAUUUGAGAUUAUCAGUAAAGGUAAAAGUUUUGAUUUAAACAUGUA